rnacentral:rRNA from 1 species
UGGAUUUGGCAUGGGCNGAAGCCUGAUCCAGCGAUGCCGCGUGAGUGAUGAAGGCCUUCGGGUUGUAAAGCUCUUUCGCGAGGGAAGAUAACCGAGUGAUCAUAUCCAUCUGUCCUGACUAUUCCCCUACAAGAAACCCCGGUAUAAUCCGGGGCACCAAACGCGGUAAUAAAUUAUGGUGCCGAACGGUAAUCGGAAUUACUGGGCGUAAAGGGUGCGGUAAGCCGCUCGAUUAAUCUGGUGGGAAAGCCCCGGGCUUAACCCGGGAAUUGCGCUCGAAACUGUCCGGAUUUAGUGUGGUAAAGGGAAGUGGAAUUCCCUGUGUAACGACGAAAUGCGUAGAUAUCCGGAUGAACACCAGUUGCGAAGGCUGCUUUCUGGACCCAUACUGACGCUGAU